rnacentral:rRNA from 1 species
CUACGGGAUGCAGCAGUGGGGAAUAUUGGACAAUGGGGGCAACCCUGAUCCAGCCAUGCCGCGUGUGUGAAGAAGGCCUUUUGGUUGUAAAGCACUUUAAGCAGGGAGGAGAGGCUAAUGGUUAAUACCCAUUAGAUUAGACGUUACCUGCAGAAUAAGCACCGGCUAACUCUGUGCCAGCAGCCGCGGUAAUACAGAGGGUGCGAGCGCUAAUCGGAAUUACUGGGCGUAAAGCGAGUGUAGGUGGCUCAUUAAGUCACAUGUGAAAUCCCCGGGCUUAACCGGGGAACUGCAUGUGAUACUGGUGGUGCUAGAAUAUGUGAGAGGGAAGUAGAAUUCCAGGUGUAGCGGUGAAAUGCGUAGAGAUCUGGAGGAAUACCGAUGGCGAAGGCAGCUUCCUGGCAUAAUAUUGACACUGAGAUUCGAAAGCGUGGGUAGCAAACAGGAUUAGAUACCCCAGUAGUC